CGAGAUGCUCCUUCCUCUCCACGAGAUGCUCCUCGUCUCCACCGGCUGCUCCUCGUCUCCAGCG
rnacentral:lncRNA from 1 species